rnacentral:rRNA from 1 species
GCCCGGNGAAUGAUUUAACGGCCGCGGUANUCUGACCGUGCAAAGGUAGCAUAAUCACUUGCCUUAUAAUUGAAGGCUGGAAUGAAUGGUUUGACAAGAAUACUACUGUCUCUUUACAAUUAUUCAGAAUUUAAUUUUUAGGUGAAGAAGCCUAAAUAAAAUUGAAAGACAAGAAGACCCUAUCGAGCUUAAAAUAAAUUAAUGAGUAAAAUUUACAUAUUAAUAAAGUACUUGUUGUUAAACAUUUUGGUUGGGGCGACAAAGGAACAAAUAAAGCUUCCUUUAUAGGUUGAUAAUAUAUUUAUGUUGAUCCAGAUAAUUCUGAUUAAAGGAAUUAGUUACCGUAGGGAUAACAGCAUAAUCUUUCUUAAGAGUUCUUAUCGAAAGUAAGGUUUGUGACCUCGAUGUUGGACCAGAAUAUCCUGAAGAUGUAGCCGUCUUUAAGGGUUGGUCUGUUCGACCAUUAAAAUUCUA